CAACAGACGCAAAACUCUCCUGCUAAUCGUUAAGUUUGAUACUGCUUCUCUGAGCUCAACAGUCCCACAAACCUGGUUAGGGAGAGCUGACAGAAGACUUGUUUAUCUGAAGUCGCAGAUGUGCGUGCUAACCUCACGGAGUCCAGAGAUAUCAUCCUCCUGUUGGUUUAUCUCAAUGCCAGCCUCUCGUAUCUCAUCCCGUCCUUGGACCCAGCCCCUGUCCAGAGCUACUGCUACAGUAUUAGAUGGUAAAGGAAGAUGGCAGGUUAAGAAAAUACCUUAAUCUAACGAAAAUGAAUCUGUCACAUCAAUAUAAUUUUGGUGGAGCUUUUACUUGGACUAACUAUUCUGAAAAAUGAUCUGGAAUUAUGUGAGCAAACUGACUAAUAUGUUUAAACUCAGAAUCAAAUCUUGACUUAUGAUU